ensembl:misc_RNA Vault Vault RNA
GGUCUUCAUAGCUCAGCAGUUCCUUCGACUGCAUCAUGAUUCAAUUAUCCUUUCAAGGGUGAUGAUUUGAGACCUGUGGGCACUCACCAGUCCUUUC